CUCUAUCUAAUCCAUAAAAUCAUAAGUGAGCUAAAAUGUUUCUUGGUUCUUCUAGAGGAGAUUAAGUUCCUCAACUCCCUGUCAAGAGAAAUGAAGACUGUUGCAGGGGACAGGGUAGUAGCAUUGUGAAUCAGGUUAUUCCUCUGUUUCCAUAUAUGAAAGAUCACCGCUUGAGAAGCCAGCUUCCUUAGGAGGACCUUACUCUUCGACGUAGCUGUUCGGAUCCAGG
rnacentral:lncRNA from 1 species